UGUCUCCACCGCCACCGCCUCUCCUCCAGACUCUACACUCCAGCCUCCUUUCCCCUCCCCCUCCGCGGAAAAUCAAAUCCAAAAUCCAGUCGCCAACAAGCAAAAGGCGGUGACCUCCGCCUCGCCGGCGCAGAAGCGGUAAAGCUUAGCGGCGAAGGCGAAGGCGAGCUAGGCCACCCCCACCCGCACCACCCACGCAGGUGCCGGCGAAGGCUUUGCGCGCGGGAGCUGCCGGCCUUCGUCGUCGCUGCUUCUCGUUGUUGGGUUCCCCGCCGCCCCCGGCCGCGAUGGAGCUGGAGAUCGUGGAGGUGGGCUCGUCGAGCAGGCCGCUGAGGUUGGUGCCGGCGCAGCCGUGGUGGAGGCCGCCCCCGCCCGCCACGGAGCUUCCUCCUCCGCCUCCGCCGCCGCCACCUCCUCCUCCCGAGGCGGUGGCGGAGGCGUCGUCAAGCGCGGGGGACGAGUACCAGCUUUUCCACUCCGGUCGACCUUGCCAAGCCAGCUAGUGCUGCUGGAUUCAAUUUGUUUAUAUUGUGCUUGCUUCACUUUGGUUUAGAUUCAUUUUGGUUGAGGUUUUCAUUCGGAUAUCGUUGUUGUUUGGGAAGGUUCUUGGUGAGAAAGAACAAAAAGGCAGAGAAAGACAUGAACAUGCCCAAGAGGGUCCCCACCACAUUCGUGGUGUUCAUGUGAGUCUUACAUCCAUGAGGUUUUGUGCUGCUGGUUCUCCAUUCGAGUGGAUUGGCGGUGGGAGUGGUGGAUGAUGAGGGGAGGGGAGGGGACUGGAGGUGGAUUGGGUAUGCAAGCUAGGGUUUGGGGCGGUUGGGUGAGGAGGAAUAGGAAGGCAUAUAGGGGAGGUGGUGGGCUGGUGGCGGCGCUGCGACUGGCGGAGGAGGAGGGCGCAGGGCACACCACCCACUCUGUGAACGAGGAAGAAGAAGGGGACGCAAAUCAAUCGAUCCGUCUCACUGUGCAGGAAGGAGAGGAGGCGAUGGUUCGUGAUGGAGUUUCUAGUCUUGCGGAUGUUGUAGGACCCGGAUAAGCUGGGCUAUUUGGUUGUGGUUUGCUGCUUGAGUUCGUAGGCUGAAACUUUCAGUUGGUCAUUGCUUAAUUACCUUUUCAGGGGAGCUCCAAUCAGGCUGAGUUGUGUUGUUGUUCUAGCUAGGGCUAUAUAGCUUGUUGGUCAUUUGAUCUCUCCACUCCGCUGUAGCUUUUUUUCAGUCUGUAGGGAUGUGGGUGUACUUGGUUGCAGUUAAUUGGCUUGAUAUAUUUGGGGUUGUUGCAACUGCAAAGCACUCUUGUUCUAGAUUACAAGCAAAUGAUGACUUACGAGAUCAUGUUGCAGCUCUUUUGUUGAGAUGCAAGUAAUCUACUUAUCUGUACUAUGUUGAAUCAACCUUUGUUUUUCCGUUAACGCAUUGCUGUUCCAUAGUUGCUACUAUUUCAGAAUGCAAACCAUUUUUGGGCAUAAAUGUCUACUUUGUACACUGGUUGAUUAGGACCGUUGUUUUUGCCCUUUUUCUAGUGAAUAAAGCAUGCAGAUUAUAUCCCUUCUAUCUUACAUUUUUUUUAUCUUGGGCCUGUCUGUCUGUCUAAUUCCUCCUCUGUCUGUCUGUCUAAUUCCUUGCACUAAGUUGUCUUCUUUUUUCUUGGGCCUCAUGGUCUUGCUAUGGGGACUAGUAAGGUAAGCAAUUAUUUUGGUUUAAACUGCACAUAUUUAACUUUCUGCAACACUGGUAUAAGUAUUAUGCAACUCGACAACUUACCAUAUGAACAAAACUAGAAAAUUUUGCUUUAAUCUAAAAAUUGUGAGAAAGGAGUGUAUUUUUUUUUGCACAUAGAUGAGUGGUAGUACUUAGAAUUAGGGUCAACGACAUGUUUCUGUUUAUUCUAAUGUUUUUGUGCCUAGUUGGGGAAUCUUUGUCCAGUUGAGAAUCUUGUGUUAUGUCAAACUUUUGAUCUAAAAUUAUCUAUUUACUAGCUCUUUGAUUUCUUUUCCUUUAAUUAUUAGUCACUCGUACUUGCAGAAUGUGUAUACCAAAAUUGCAAUGAGGUUAACAUAUAGUUGCAUAAUAUGAAAAUAAGCAAUUUUAGUGUAAACGAAGUCCAACUUCAGUAUAAAUUAAGUACAAUGAUAGUUUCUAUAGGUUUGGUAAGCAUUUUGUGUGAGCAUAAAAUCCAGAAGAUGUGUUGUUGCUGGUAUGUUUCUUUUUUGAGUUAUUGCCAAAUAAACGAAAAGUAUCUUUGCUAAAAUAUUAAACAAGCUUAGCAAAUUGGCUAAACUAAAUUUUGUACAUUGGGGUAAUGACUAAUGAGUUUACUGUGAUUAUUUUAUGUCCAUGUGCAACAAUUUCUUUUGGACCUGUAGAAUGUGACAUCCAAACAAAAAACACAAGGCCAUUAAAUCAAAGAAAUGGAGGGUUCAGACAGCUGCCAUGCUUUGUUUGUUUUUGAAAGUCCCAUGCAAGUCAUAGUUAAUCCUGCCUAAUUUUGUAAUAAUAUUGAACUUUUAGUGAUUCCUUGAGAUGAUUGUGUGCCUCCUGUAGAAUAAAUUCUAAAUUGUGUCAAUUUUUUUGUAAUUGUAUUUAGCAUUACACUUUGGCAUUCUGCAGCCUAUAAAGAGUCAUGUUAUAAUAUGUGGUGAUAUUCAUGGACUAUUUUAUGACCUUGCAGAACUGUUCCUGAUCGGUGGAAAGGUAUCAAUUGUAUUUUAGUGUUCAUAUUCCUUCGUGCAUAUCUGGAAUCCAUGGAACUUCAAAUACAUUGAUGGGCCAAUAUCCUUUGCGCCAAUUCUCUAGAGAAAUCAGUCUGGAGUACAAGGAGAUAGAAGAGAGGGAGCAGUUUAGGAAUGAUUACAAGGAGACGCACCACAACGUCAAGCAGGUCUUCUUGG